UGCCAGCAGCCGCGGUAAUACGGAGGGUGCCCGCGUUGUUCGGAAUUAUUGGGCGUAAAGAGCAUGUAGGCGGACUGUUAAGUCUGGCGUGAAAGCCCGGGGCUCAACCCCGGAAGUGCGUUGGAUACUGGCAGUCUUGAGUAUGGGAGAGGAAAGUGGAAUUCCGAGUGUAGGAGUGAAAUCCGUAGAUAUCCGGAGGAACACCAGUGGCGAAGGCGACUUCCUGGUCCAAUACUGACGCUGAUGUGCGCAAGCGUGGGGAGCAAACAGGAUUAGAUA
rnacentral:rRNA from 1 species